ensembl:lncRNA
GGGAGAGAGGAGAGAGGAGGGACAGCUAGCUGUAGGGGGUUGAUCUCAGUAGUAAACUAAAGUGUGUUUAUAAUAUGAAUGUAAUCUGAAACUCCUCAGUAGAUGUCUGAAACAAUGUCCUGUCCACUCAGAUCUUUGAACAUGGUAAAGCCAUCUGUUUCUAUGUUUACGUGAGGUCCACUCAACAUGCUGUUUCUAUCUUUACGUGAGGUCCACUCAACAUGCUGUUUCUAUGUUUACGUGAGGUCCACUCAACAUGCUGUUUCUAUCUUUACGUGAGGUCCACUCAACAUGCUGUUUCUAUCUUUACGUGAGGUCCACUCAACAUGCUGUUUCUAUGUUUACGU